rnacentral:rRNA from 1 species
GGCUAUGACCAUACCACUCUGAAUGCAACUGAUUUCUGAAGCUAAGCAGGGUCGGUCAGGCCUGGGGAAAAUGGGGUUUGACUACAAAACUUUCCCAAGUGUGGUCACUGUAACUGCCUGCGGUGGUGUACA